rnacentral:lncRNA from 1 species
AUAGGCCACACAAGAAGCAAAAUUGCUUUGGGAAAGGGAGGCACCGUCAAUGUUAGAUGGACAGGCUCAAGGGUUGAUUGUACACUUAGGCUGCUCUGCACAAAGAGUGCUUUGUGCGGAGGAUUGAUCAGCACCACAUAGAGGGCUUUAUCGCCUUGUUCCUGAAUUGCUCCAAACCUAUCUUCUUCGAUAUUACUUCCAAUAAGGGCACUCCUCUUGUUCAGUCUUGCUAGCAUCUAAAGCUAGACUGGUUCAGUUUGAAAUCGAGGUGCAUCUGAUGAGAUUGUUAGUCUCACGUCCGAAAGACUUUCUUCGCUAUGUUGUGUUUAUCCAUUCCCAUAUCUGAUGACAUCGAUCUUUCAAGGUCUAUGAUUGAAGAAUUGGUACAGUAUCAAUUCUUUUGUCGAAGGAAUGCAAACCUGAUCCAUCCAGGCCCUUGGUUGG